rnacentral:rRNA from 1 species
CCUACGGGGGGCAGCAGUGGGGAAUACUGCGCAAUGGGGGAAACCCUGACGCAGCAACGCCGCGUGAGUGAGGAAGUAUCUCGGUAUGUAAAGCUCUAUCAGCGGGGAAGAAAGAAAUGACGGUACCUGACCAAGAAGCCCCGGCUAACUACGUGCCAGCAGCCGCGGUAAUACGUAGGGGGCAAGCGUUAUCCGGAAUUACUGGGUGUAAAGGGAGCGUAGACGGUUAAGUAAGUCUGGAGUGAAAGGCCGGGGCCCAACCCCGGGACUGCUCUGGAAACUAUUGAACUUGAGUGCAGGAGAGG